rnacentral:pre_miRNA from 2 species
AGAGGUAGUUGUUUGUACAGUUUGAGGGUUUGUGACACCACCCGGUUGAUGGAGAUAACUGUACAAGCCACUGCCUUGC